UACGUAGGGUGCAAGCGUUAAUCGGAAUUACUGGGCGUAAAGCGUGCGCAGGCGGUUCUAUAAGACAGAUGUGAAAUCCCCGGGCUCAACCUGGGAACUGCAUUUGAGACUGCUCUGCUCGGGUGCGGAAGAGGGAAGCGGAAUUUCCGGUGUAGCGGUGAAAUGCGUAGAUAUCGGAAGGAACACCAGUGGCGAAAGCGGCUUCCUGGUCCGACACCGACGUUCAGGCACGAAAGCGAGGGGAGCAAACAGG
rnacentral:rRNA from 1 species